GAUCCUGCUCAGGACGAACGCUGGCGGCGCGCCUAACACAUGCAAGUCGAACGAGAGAGAGGGAGCUUGCUUCCUCAAUCGAGUGGCGAACGGGUGAGUAACGCGUGAGGAACCUGCCUCAAAGAGGGGGACAACAGUUGGAAACGACUGCUAAUACCGCAUAAGCCCACGACCCGGCAUCGGGAAGAGGGAAAAGGAGCAAUCCGCUUCGAGAUGGCCUCGCGUCCGAUUAGCUAGUUGGUG
rnacentral:rRNA from 1 species